rnacentral:rRNA from 2 species
UACAGAGGUGGCAAGCGUUGUUCGGAAUUACUGGGCGUAAAGGGCGCGUAGGCGGUCCGAUAAGUCCUGUGUGAAAUCCCUCGGCUCAACUGAGGAACUGCACGGGAGACUGUCGGGCUUGAGUUCGGGAGAGGGAAGCGGAAUUCCGGGUGUAGCGGUGAAAUGCGUAGAUAUCCGGAGGAACACCGGUGGCGAAGGCGGCUUCCUGGACCGACACUGACGCUGAGGCGCGAAAGCUAGGGGAGCAAACGGG